rnacentral:misc_RNA from 1 species
UCGCCAGAUCGGCGCCACCGUGUACACCACCGGCGUAUACUAGUCCACACUUUUAGCGGCAGUUGCCCAGUCUAAGGUCCAAUCCCCGAACCGAACGGUCGCCCGAAAUACUUAGCGAACGAGUGUGGUUAGCAGUUCAGUAGAGCGGCAAAAUGGACGCGCGAUUCAGAAGCAAUCUCGACAUGAUCGGGCGUAACGAGCCCAUCACAAGGAAGGCGAAGUUUUGGCAGAGCUAUGUACGGGCCUUGAAAGGCACUGAUGACAUCAGAGCUCCCGAGCACACUCACAGGCCCCGUGGCAUUUUCCGCUCGGAUUUUCCUGAGCUGCAUUCCACCUCGUGGCCGUUUGGAAAGUCAAUCUACGAAAAUCCGAUUCACGCAGCCGAUCGUAUUAAUGUUCCCGGAUACAGGUAUUUGCCCAUGCACCGUGAGAUCUACGGUUACUCGCCGAGGCAGCUGUAUCCCCAUCAGUACAAACCCGUAGAACGCUUCACCCCUGCGAAACCAUUCGACGCUGAGAAGGCUUGGAAAGAUCAUCUGAAUCGCUUGGCGGACAUCGACAGACUCUAUCCAUCCAAAUCACCGCUUCUGUCUCGUCACAUAAGCCCACCGCUCAGUACGAAACGACUGUUCGACAUUUACGGUAAUCUCGUGAACGACAUACUGCCGUAUCCGUCCCUGCUGCGUAGGAAACCGCUCUUCGAUCUCCUGGAACCGUCACCAAUGGCACCUAUCAGUGCGUUCACCAGGGACCCAUGGUGGUACCCGAGCUACUCGCCUUAUAUUCCGAGCUACGCUCAAUAUCGCACACCAUUCUAUCUGAGGGACAGCUACCUCAGUCCAAUUAAACGUGUCUAUCUGUGGAGUCGACACCCCAUCAGGCCCUUCGAAUGUGUUAUCUCUACAAGAAUGUUCCUUAAUCCUUCUGGUAAUUAUUAAUUAAUUACCGAGCCGUUACUCUCCGCCGAGGAGCCGCUGACAGAAUCUCGAACACGCGCUCACGUCUACUGAUGACUGUCUGGCGCCACACGGAAAACGUGAAACGUAAAACAAUGAAAAAAGAAAAAUAAUGCCCGAAAAAUGAAAAUCAACCAAAAAAAAGAAAGAAAACUUGUGCACCACGUCCCGAGAGAAUUUUUUGGUGUCUCUAUCAGAAUACAUACCGUUUCCACGGAGUUUAUUUAUUAAUAUUUCCCGUCACAUGAUUUAUUGUACUGUUCAUCCGUGAUCUAUCUACGAAAAUAAAAAAACACUGCCAAAAUUUUA